UGUUCUUACUGUUUUCAAUGGCUCGCUUAGUGAGAGCUUUUUUUUUUUUAUUUUUAUUUUUUUUCACAUUCGCUGCUGGACUUUCUCCAGUUGUUUUACCAGUUCUUUCAUCCAUACCUUCUUCUAAAAUCUUUAUUGUCCUCUUUAGUCUCUGAAUGUGCACAUGAAUACUGUUCUUUUUUAUUAUUAUUAUCUGAACCAUUGUUUCUCUCUCUCUGCCUUCAAAAUUUUCUGCCAGGAACAAGAAUUCUGCACACAGUGUGGCAGAAAGCCUUUGUCCUUACUGCCCCGAGGAGGAACAAGUGUGAAAUGGGAGCAGUAAUUACUUCCUGUGCUGUAAAGUCAUUGAGAAGUUUCAAGGCAUGUCGUUCUGGGUGAUGAGAAACAAAACUGAACAAAGUAGAAAUGUGAUCAGAAAAACAAUGAGAGCAGAACUUGAUCUGCUUGCAGGAAAAAGAAAUACAGAUGCAGUAUUUUACAGGUGC
rnacentral:lncRNA from 1 species